GAGAUUAGUUGACAAGUCACUGAAGAACAGAAUUGGUGAGAUGGGAAUCCAGGAAGGGUGGUGAUUCCUAAAGGGAGCAGUCCUACGAGCACAGAAGGAGAUAAUUCCCUUGUUCAUGAAAGGGGGCAAAGGGGCCAAGAAGCCCUCUUGGCUGAACAGGGAAA